AAGAAAGGGGACAUAGUGGGGGAUAUAGAACCACUUCUCCAAUGGAGAGCAUAAAGACUCAUUAAUAUGGAGAAAAAAAAUCUCAGCAUUAAAACAACUAUACAUAGAGUGGAUUUUCAGGAAAUGUGGCUUUUGCAGUCCGAUGAAUAUGCUUUGAGAGGAUCUUUUAGCAAGUUCUCUUCCACUUUCUUUAAGGAAGUAGCUUUUCA
rnacentral:lncRNA from 1 species